UCGUCAUGCAUCCUCUCUCCCCAUUCCCCAAUCCCACUCCUCUGCUUGUCCCCGUCUCCACAUCUCCCUUGCGCGUGCGCAUCCGGCGGCGCGGCCGACCUCGGCGCGGGCAACGGGCAGCGCAGCCGGUCUCCACUGGGACGGCGCGGGAGGGCAGCACGGGCGACCUCCGCAGGGGCCGGCGUGGCAGGGCGGCGCGGGCGACCUCGGUUACUCCGGUGAGGACGGCGCGGUCGUGGAGGAAUGUCGAAGGACGGCCAGCAGGGGUGGCGCGGUCGAACUCCGCCAGGACGAGCUCCGCAGAGGAAGCUCCGGCGUGGGAUAGGUUCGUCCUCUCUCUCUCUCUCUCAAACCUCGUCCCGCGUCCCUGCCUUCGCCAAGCCAGCAGCGCCACGCCUCUGCUACGCGCGCGCUACGCCUCUGCAGCAGCACCUCAGCCCGCUCGGCCCUAGGUCGACAACAACCACGCAGCAGCACCAACAUGCUCAGUCCUCUUGCUGCCCGGUGACCUGCUGUGGCGUAUGGCGCCGCCGAUUCGCUGGCUAUCAGCCCCAACUUUCUCCUAUUUUCUGCACUCUCUCAUCCUCUUCCCCACUAACUGCAGCAGGACGAUGACCACAGAGAAGAACAAUUUAAUUUUUAUUUAAUUGAUUAUUUCGUGAAAUUAAUUGGUGGCUUGAAAACCUCUGGUAUAAUUCAGGUUGGUGGUUCUGAAGCUGUCAUGCCUGCUCCCAUGUACAGUUUGGUUUUGUGGAUUUCUUCUGAAUGUAUUCAAGAUUAUAUGCUGCACCAGAUGUAGUUGCAAGUGAACUAUUAGCUUGACAUUAACAUUACCGUGUAGGGAUUAAUGCCAAACUCUGGGUAUAUGUUUACAUUUUGCAGUGAACCUGGUGUUGCUAUUUCACUAGGACCUGAAGUGAACAAUUCACAAUAGCCACUAUAACAUAUUGGUUGGGGAACAUUUUACCACCGGGCAGUCAAAGCGAUUCUUCACGCCAUAUGCCCGCUGUCGCUGCUUCUUCGUUAAAGAUUUGGUUUUUUUUUUUUCAGUUGUCCUAGACUCCUAGCUCUUUGUGCUAAUAUUCUGCUUAUCUUUGUUAUUUUGGUGCACUCACUGUUAUAUUGCAAGCACUCCAAUGGCUUGACUUUUUUAUAUUUAUGUAUAUAUUAGCAUUUCUCCAUAGUGAAUUAGAUUAGUUUUGCUAAUAUAAUGAAAACGUGCUGGUGCUAUACUUUUCAAAAGUGGAGAUGAAAAGGAAGCCAUUGUUCGUCAGGGCAUGGGACAGGAGUCGUCGAAUAGAAAAACUACGCGGACUAAACUUUCCAGUAGUAUAACUCAGUAUGAACUGUUAUAUUUGCAAAUGCCUGAAGCCAUUGGAGUGUUUGCUAGCCUCGAAAACAUUUUGUAUUUAUGUGGUGGUGUAUUUUUCAUAUUAUGCUGAUUUGUCUUAACUAUAGAUAAAUUGUGAGGCAAUAUCUGCUCUCCUGUCGGACAACCCAUUACAAACAACACCUGAAAGGGUGGUUUAUGUUUCUAGGUGCACACAACGUGCUAUGAAAUAUCUAACGAAAAACAAUUUCGCAUGUUGCUGGAAUUAUUACAGGUGAUGGAAGAGGAAAUGUACUUAGAAAGUAAAUGAGCGAUUAUUGCCGCAUGUCUUAUUUUGUAGGUUUGCUCCACUCUUGCCUUAUGUGUUGUGUUUGAUCUAUGGUUUUAUUUCUGUAUGCUUGAAUAAUUUCAGUUUAUUGCCACUUUUUCAAAUUUUAGCACUGAACAAUCAAUAGUAAAGCUAACAAGGCCAGCGCUUUGAGGAGAACACACAGCCGGUUCAGAUUUGGUAUGUCCUGUACUCCUGUCCCCCGUCUCAAGCAACGAAUGUGGUGGUGCAUGCCUGAACUGAGCGAGACCUGAGAAACGGAUAUGAUUGUGUCUCUUGUACUCCAUCAAAGUGAAACAGCAAAAGAAAAGUGUGGGCUACCAAUGGACGAUCGCGUGUGCUGAAAACUUUCUCCUUGCAAUUGUGGGGAGGAAUAAAAUUCUGGCUAUACAUGCAUCGAAAGGGCAGUUCUAAAAUUUAUGUUAUACCUUCUGUUAUAUCUUUCCUUCGUAUUGUGUUAGCAUGUAUGUUCUUUCGGGACUUUUUUUUUGCGGCAAAGCAACGUUGGAUAGUUAUUCUGUCAACUAUUUGGCAAAUGGAUCAGCAUCCCUGUGUCUCUUUGAUAGUUCAGCGAUUCUAUACCUGCAUGAGCCUUGCCAGAUCUAACAUUCAUUGUUUUUGUACUGUAGCAAAAAGUAGUGUUGCCUAUAGAACCCCAAAUCUAUAUAUCGGGUAAUAUACCAAUUACCUUUUUGUACUGUAUCAGCAUUAAUCAUUUCUUACUCUGGAUUUCCUAUUCGAUCUUUGCAAUAGAUGGUCCUGUUAAAUACGAUAUGGUCCUUUCAAGGCCGUUGGCUUGUUUGUUGAUGUUCAAUUUAAUUCAUUGUAUCAGUUCCCAACUUAGUGUUUUACUUCCUCUUGUACCUGUUGGGUUACUACAUAUCUGGUUAUGCCGUGGAAACAUGAAUCGAUAAAUAGUUUCAUUGUUGUUCAAGCUCCGUAGUAGUGCUUUCGCUUUGACACUACUUUGUUGCUCCGAUAUAAUUCAUCAUAUUUUAAUUAUAGGCCAUAUAUAUUUGGUGUUAUAAUAACUACGCAUGAAAAUCCCGUAUAUUUCUUUUGGGAGAAGCCAUCCUUUUGAAAGCAAAAUAGAAGUUAUGUCAUAUCUGAGCUCUGCAAUGUGGUCAAAGAUUGGUCAUUUUUAAUCUACCGCUCAGAAGCUCUUCCCUAGUAUGAAUUGCUAGCUGAAGGAAGUUCAGAGUAACACAUCUCAUGCAGGCUGCUGUUUACAAAAUGAAUGCACCAAGGGAGCAAUGCAGAGGCAUGUAGCAACCUGAUGAUGGAGAAAUGUAAAAAUUUCAGCGGACGUGAGUUCACAGCAUUAUUUUCGUCAGGAGGUAUGAUAUUCACAGCAGCCUAUGAGGCGUUAUUACCGAUUUUCAGUUGCGAUAUAGAGAUGAUCUAUAGAAUGCCGUCUUUAAUAAUUCAUUACGUUGUCAGGUCACAAUGUUAGUAGCUGACAGACAUUUCUGACAGGUCAUCACUGUAGCUAUUGACUAUUGUAUGCUUCAUAUCAUAUUGGUAUCAGCAAUUGGUUUAAUCAUUAUAUAGCUCCCAUUAUAAGUUAAUAAUAAAGUUAAUUGGAUGGAAAUGAUGAUACUAUAAUUGCUUCGAAAUUCACCUCUAUUCCCCAGUAUAAUUCUCAUUGUACGCCUCUAUUCCCCAGUAUAAUUCUCAUUGUACAAUCAUGUUGGCCUCUAUUCCCCACUAUAAUUCUCAUUGUACAAUCCUAUUGGCAUAAUCAAAUAUGGGUUUGGGGUUCCUUCUGUAGGAUAUAAGAAUUGGGUUUUAUUUGUGCUUGUUUUAUUUAUAUACAUUGCUCAUAUUUGUUUGUUUUCCUUUUGAGUUUAUUUCUCUCUGUAUGGAUCGUUGCAUCCUAAUUGCUUGUUGUCUCUCUUGAUCUGUGGGUGAUGAAACCCCGACAUCAGAAAACACUUUGAUGCAUAUGGUGUUUAUUUGUUAGAAGUGACAUUUUUGAGUUUUUUUGUGGGAGGACACCGAGUAUAACUACCAAGAUACCUGUGAGAACCUCAAGAGCCUGAUAUUCCUUGUUGCUUAUUAUGAUUGACAUGCCCAAGACUGGUAUUUCAUUUGGUACUGCCAAGAUAGGAGAGGAGAGCUUAUGCAUGCAUCAAUAUUUUGACAACUGGGUAGCAGCAGGAGCCAAUAUUCCAUCUGAUAUGCUACUUGUGGCAAUUAAGGCCAAUUGAACUUGUCCUGGGGCAUAAAAAGAAUUGGAAUGAAUUAUUAUGUUCAGAUAUGACCCUUCAAAGCUAUGGAUAUUCCUAUAGGUAAAUGAGUGCCCUAAUACAUGCUACUUCAGGUACAAUGCAGCUAGCAGCACAAAUUUAUUUAUCAACCAGUGAACCUACUGCUUAUGCAAUUGAACAAAUGGAUGAGCUUACAGGUUGACAGGGUUGCUUGUACGUGUAUUUCUCCUGUAUGCGUUUGCUGCAGCUAUUUGAUAUACAAAAAUUCAGAGAAUGCUUCAGGUUAUGAGCAUCGGUGCAAUUAUUCCCAGGCAAACUUCAGCAGCUAGGUUGAGAGCAUGCUUCAACUCAUGAAUGUUAUCUGGAUGUUUGUUAUUUAUAACUUGAUAUGUCUUUGAUUUUAUACCUCAUGACUAGGAAUAUCAUCUGUCAUUUAGGUGAUGCUUCAGUUCAGGCAUGGCCAUAAGAAUUUGGAUGCCAUCAUAGGACUGCAGCUCCAUUUUGGUGAUAUUUUGAUUUUGUAACUGUUGUACAAAAUUUCUACUCACAAAGAUAAUUCGGUGGUUUAUUAUUUAUUAUAGCUUUAGGCAAUGGAAGCAGAUCACGCUAUAGAUGUCCUUGAUUUCUACUCAUGCUGUAGAUGAUGAAAAUAGUUCUAUCUUUUUGGGUGUCCCAUCCCGCUAUUCGAACCUCACUAUUGCAUUUGGAGAUAAAAUCUUGGAUUGAUUUGCUAUGAAGGGAUAUAAUUGAGUAUCCUCCUGUGCAUAUAUUUAUCUAGCACUUCGCGUUGCUCCCUUCCACGCAACCUUGUGUUUUUCUAUUUCAGAGAUUUGCUGAGUAAGAAGAAAAGAUAAUGUUGUUCUGUAGAUUCUAAUUUUUCGUUCAUCACAUAUUGCCUUUUCUUUUAGCAUGAACAUUGCUUAAUUGCACUCUCAGCAUUGUCGAACAUGCCCUUCCAUUGUUCAAGUAAAUGUGGUCAAAAGAUUUAUCUACUAUUUUAGGGACAACUCCCUUGGGAAGGUUAUAGGGAUGCCUUAUGUUCAAGUUCCUAAUGGAAUGUUGCCUUUUCGCUGAUGCCACCAUUUGUACGCAGCCAUUUUUCCCUCAAGGUACAAUAAAGAUAGUUAGAGAGAUUGUUGUAUUUGGAUUUUCUUUAUGAAAAUUCAAAAAUAGUUUCCUGCACACCACUUUAUUUUUCUAUAUUCUCUCCUUAUUUAUUCAUGUACGUCAGUAUGAGUUUAAAUGCUAUCUCCUAAAGAUUUCAGUCUGCUGGGUUCCUACAUUUGUGUCCAGAUCUAUGUAACUAUAGACUACACAAGAGUGGUGAACUUAAGUAUUGAGCGAUGGAAGAAAAUGUCACCAAGGUAACAUACUGAAACGGUUGAGGGCUGGUUUCUGAGAAAUUUAACGUUUACUACUCUCCUAAAAAGGCAUGUACUAACAUUCAGGGAGUAAGAUGCAAUUAUGAACAAGUAGCGACCCUUCAGUUUAAGCAAUAAUUUAAUUUAGUUAGGUUGAAUUCAAUGUGUAAUUUUAUUCUAACCCAGUAUAUCUAUGGUACUCUAUUUUUAUAGAGUUUUAUUCUUUCGAAAACGGAAGUCCCAUCAUUUGCUUGCAUAUUUGUUUGCCCACAACCAAAAUAUGGCUUUAUUAAACUGAACUUUCUUUAGCUUUUGCGCUACAGCUGAGAGCAUGUAUUAUUCCCUCAUCAAGCAUGUGAUUCAAUUUAUUUGAUGUUAUCAAGUGAUGUCAUCUUGCUGCCAACUACUGCAUUAUUCAAUUAUUUACACAUUCAUGUAUUAUUAUUUUGCCAAUGGUUUACCUUCACUGUCUAUUCCUAGAUUGACUUAGUGUUCUGACUUAUGACAACUUAUGGCUUCCAAUAUUACUUCAGCCCAGCAGUAUAUUGAUGCAACAGUUAAAGGAAGAAGCCUACCACUAUGACUUCGAUGGGCAUCCUACAGAUUACGAGGUUUGAUCAUCGUUACCUGAACUAUCACUACUUCAUGUGUGUCACUACCUCUGGUGUCUGUUUUGAGUAUUGAUCUCUGAUCAUGGAAUCAUUGUGUUUGAACAGCUCCUCCAUGUGUUUAGCUAUUGUAAUCUUUGAACAAUCUGUUCAUGUACCUAUUGUAAUAUAUUUCCCUAUUUUCUCA